rnacentral:rRNA from 1 species
CCUACGGGUGGCAGCAGUCGAGAAUCAUUCACAAUGGGGGAAACCCUGAUGGUGCGACGCCGCGUGGGGGAAUGAAGGUCUUCGGAUUGUAAACCCCUGUCAUGUGGGAGCAAAUUAAAAAGAUAGUACCACAAGAGGAAGAGACGGCUAACUCUGUGCCAGCAGCCGCGGUAAUACAGAGGUCUCAAGCGUUGUUCGGAAGCACUGGGCGUAAAGUGUGCGUAGGCUGUUUCGUAAGUAGUGUGUGAAAGGCGCGGGCUCAACCCGCGGACGGCACAUGAUACUGCGAGACUAGAGUAAUGGAGGGGGAACCGGAAUUCUCGGUGUAGCAGUGAAAUGCGUAGAUAUCGAGAGGAACACUCGUGGCGAAGGCGGGUUCCUGGACAUUAACUGACGCUGAGGCACGAAGGCCAGGGGAGCGAAAGGGAUUAGAUACCCGAGUAGUC